UUACGGUCACAUCACGUUGAAACACUGGUUUUCGUAAGAUCACCGAUGUUAAGCAAUGUUGAACCUGGUUUGUACCUAGAUGGGUGACCGCUUAGGAAUACCAAGCGC